rnacentral:rRNA from 1 species
UACAGAGGGUGCGAGCGUUAAUCGGAAUUACUGGGCGUAAAGCGUGCGUAGACGGUUAUGUAAGUCGGGUGUGAAAGCCCCGGGCUCAACCUGGGAAUUGCGCUCGAAACUACUUUGCUGGAGUGUGGCAGAGGAAGGUGGAAUUCCACGUGUAGCGGUGAAAUGCGUAGAGAUGUGGAGGAACACCAAUGGCGAAGGCAGCCUUCUGGGCCAACACUGACGCUCAUGCACGAAAGCGUGGGGAGCAAGCAGG